rnacentral:rRNA from 1 species
GACGAACGCUGGCGGCGUGCUUAACACAUGCAAGUCGAACGGUGAAGGGACCGGUUUUUGCUGGUUCUGGAUGAGUGGCGAACGGGUGAGUAACACGUGAGUAACCUGCCCCCUUCUUCUGGAUAACCGCAUGAAAGUGUGGCUAAUACGGGAUAUUCUGCGCCUGCUGCAUGGUGGGUGUGGGAAAGAUAUUGUUUCGGUGGGGGAUGGGCUCGCGGCCUAUCAGCUUGUUGGUGGGGUGAUGGCCUACCAAGGCGGGGACGGGUAGCCGGCCUGAGAGGGUGGACGGUCACACUGGGACUGAGACACGGCCCAGACUCCUACGGGAGGCAGCAGUGGGGAAUAUUGCACAAUGGGCGCAAGCCUGAUGCAGCGACGCCGCGUGAGGGAUGGAGGCCUUCGGGUUGUAAACCUCUUUCGCCAGUGAAGCAGGCCUGUCCCUUUUGUGGGUGGGUUGACGGUAGCUGGAUAAGAAGCGCCGGCUAACUACGUG